CUGAUACAUUUAUAGAAAAAUGACUGUUUGCAAUUCAAAGACUCAUGAACUAAUAAACAUUACUGUAUUACACUUGAAAUUAUGGAGUAAUUUGCAAAUUUUCACACGAUUUGUUAUUUUUCCAGUGUAAAAUGUAAACAUGGCAUUUAGCAGCAUUUAAGUUGCAGUAAAUGUGCAGUUGUAGCUUCAGUGAUUAUCAGAUUACUGUAUAUACAAUUAUGUAAAUGUAUUGCUUCAUUUAACAUUCUGAUUUAAGAUGAAAUUUAUUUCAGAAUUGGUUUGCAUAUCAUUUUCUUGUAAGUAUAGUGGUAAAGUGGUAAAAGAAUGUUCCAUAUUCUGACACAGAAAAUGUGAGUUGUGUGUAGAAAGGUUCUACUAGUUGUCAUGUUGAUUAAUGCAAUAUAUGCAAAUUUUAUUUGAAAGUAUGCCUGAUUAUCAGGAAUUAAGCAUAUUUGGAAAUUUAUCAUUCCUCAUGUCAAGGCACAUGUAGUAUACAUGUAGUUUGCCUUUUAGUACAGUGUUACAAAUACAAAGGGUAUUAAAAUAGGAAAGGUCAAGAGUUCAGCUCUUCAUGUGAAGCUCGAGUAGAAAGUUACUUACAAACAUAAAAUGUGUGUUUACGGUACAGUCAAGUUGUUGGUUGUAUGUUUAACUUGACACUUCUCUUUCAGAUCUCCCAUCGUCUGAGUCAGUAGGAGGAUUUAGUUUUGGAUUAAAACAUUUUUAGUGUCAUUCCUGGUGUUGGAAUUAUAGUGAGGAAGCAGCGUGGUUGCUUACAGUUAUCUUUGGAGUCGAUGUUUUCCAAAAUGAUUCUAAAUUCUGACAAGGAAUGUUGGGAGUUCUGAUAUGGUUGUCAUGGUGAUGUUGAGAAGGAUAUUUGCUUUAUGUAGUGCAUUUGAUAUAGACUUAGUGCAUUUUAUGCAAAUGUCAAAGCUUUUGAAAUUACUUAGUUGUUUGCUGAAAAGAAACUCUUCAGAUAUUUUAUGUUGAUAUUAAUGGUCAAGAUCAUUAAAUAAGUUAAAGGUGAUUAGUUAUUUAAAGGUGUGAAGAAAAAAAGGUCACUUGAACAGUAUAAGAAGUUUAAGAAUUUAAAGGAACAAUGAUUCAUUGCAAGUAGCAAUUGUGGAUAGACUUAAUUUUGAAAUGUUUCAAAUGAACAAAGUAUUGUUAAAUGUUCAGAAAUGCUUCUCAUUUAAGAGGGCCGGAAUGUGGAGUACAGGAUGACGUUUUGGCUUGAAGCCGAUGCUUGUGAUGUCACAGGCGUCGCUUUGUAGAAAGUGUAUGGAUUAGGUCGCUUGAGGGCGUACUGGAUUUUGUGUGUUACUGAUUUUCCACGUCAUGGGAUAGUUGCCUCCCAGAGUUGCCUAAGUUUUCGUUUAAUUUUGUGAUACAAGCCCAAUGAUAUUGAACCUUGCCUGCUACAGUCUAUAACCAAA